rnacentral:rRNA from 1 species
CCCCAGUCAGGCGGGACUACC